CACUCCUCCCUCUCCCUGUCCGACCCCUACCCUCUGCAAGAAGUCUCUACAGGUUUCUAAGCCGCUCCGCACACCUGAGACCAAGCAGAUUGCUGCAACCAAACGAACUCCGUUGCUCCCAGCAGUGAAUCCCAGAGACAUGAAAACUGAGCCUAAGCAACCAUUUCCCCGAGAUCACACAGUUGGUCUAAGUUGUGGUUUGACCUCUGAGAAUCUCUGUCCAG